rfam:Sphaeroforma arctica JP610 cont1.20471, whole genome shotgun sequence.
UCCGAAGUAGCUCAGAUGGGAGAGCAUUCGACUGAAGAUCGAAAGGCACCAAGAUCGAUACUUGGCUUCGGCA